rnacentral:rRNA from 1 species
UACGAAGGGGGCUAGCGUUGUUCGGAAUUACUGGGCGUAAAGCGCGCGCAGGCGGUUCGAUAAGUUGGGGGUGAAAUCCCCGGGCUCAACCCGGGAAUGGCCUUCAAGACUGUCGAUCUAGAGGACGAGAGAGGUGAGUGGAAUUCCCAGUGUAGAGGUGAAAUUCGUAGAUAUUAGGGAAGAACACCGGUGGCGAAGGCGGCUCACUGGCUCGUUUCUGACGCUGAGGCGCGAAAGCGUGGGGAGCAACAGG